rnacentral:rRNA from 1 species
UUUUAAUCAUAGCUGAGGAAGAAACCAACCGGGAUUGCCUUAGUAACGGCGAGUGAAGCGGCAAAAGCUCAAAUUUGAAAUCUGGUACCUUCGGUGCCCGAGUUGUAAUUUGGAGAGGGCAACUUUGGGGCCGUUCCUUGUCUAUGUUCCUUGGAACAGGACGUCAUAGAGGGUGAGAAUCCCGUGUGGCGAGGAGUGCGGUUCUUUGUAAAGUGCCUUCGAAGAGUCGAGUUGUUUGGGAAUGCAGCUCUAAGUGGGUGGUAAAUUCCAUCUAAAGCUAAAUAUUGGCGAGAGACCGAUAGCGAACAAGUACAGUGAUGGAAAGAUGAAAAGAACUUUGAAAAGAGAGUGAAAAAGUACGUGAAAUUGUUGAAAGGGAAGGGCAUUUGAUCAGACAUGGUGUUUUGUGCCCUCUGCUCCUUGUGGGUAGGGGAAUCUCGCAUUUCACUGGGCCAGCAUCAGUUUUGGUGGCAGGAUAAAUCCAUAGGAAUGUAGCUUGCCUCGGUAAGUAUUAUAGCCUGUGGGAAUACUGCCAGCUGGGACUGAGGACUGCGACGUAAGUCAAGUGAUGCUGGCAUAAUGGUUA